rnacentral:rRNA from 1 species
GACGAACGCUGGCGGCGUGCUUAACACAUGCAAGUCGAACGAUGAAGCCUAGCUUGCUAGGUGGAUUAGUGGCGAACGGGUGAGUAAUACGUGAGUAACCUACCUUUAACUCUGGGAUAAGCCUGGGAAACUGGGUCUAAUACCGGAUACGACCAAUCUCCGCAUGGGGUGUUGGUGGAAAGCGUUAUGUAGUGGUUAUAGAUGGGCUCACGGCCUAUCAGCUUGUUGGUGAGGUAACGGCUCACCAAGGCGACGACGGGUAGCCGGCCUGAGAGGGUGACCGGCCACACUGGGACUGAGACACGGCCCAGACUCCUACGGGAGGCAGCAGUGGGGAAUAUUGCACAAUGGGCGCAAGCCUGAUGCAGCGACGCCGCGUGAGGGAUGACGGCCUUCGGGUUGUAAACCUCUGUUAGCAGGGAAGAAGAGAGAUUGACGGUACCUGCAGAGAAAGCGCCGGCUAACUACGUGCCAGCAGCCGCGGUAAUACGUAGGGCGCGAGCGUUGUCCGGAAUUAUUGGGCGUAAAGAGCUUGUAGGCGGUUUGUCGCGUCUGCUGUGAAAGGCCCGGAGCUUAACUCCGUGUAUUGCAGUGGGUACGGGCAGACUAGAGUGCAGUAGGGGAGACUGGAAUUCCUGGUGUAGCGGUGGAAUGCGCAGAUAUCAGGAGGAACACCGAUGGCGAAGGCAGGUCUCUGGGCUGUAACUGACGCUGAGAAGCGAAAGCAUGGGGAGCGAACAGGAUUAGAUACCCUGGUAGUCCAUGCCGUAAACGUUGGGCACUAGGUGUGGGGAACAUUCCACGUUUUCCGCGCCGUAGCUAACGCAUUAAGUGCCCCGCCUGGGGAGUACGGCCGCAAGGCUAAAACUCAAAGAAAUUGACGGGGGCCCGCACAAGCGGCGGAGCAUGCGGAUUAAUUCGAUGCAACGCGAAGAACCUUACCAAGGCUUGACAUAUACUGGACCGCAUCAGAGAUGGUGUUUCCCUUCGGGGCUGGUAUACAGGUGGUGCAUGGUUGUCGUCAGCUCGUGUCGUGAGAUGUUGGGUUAAGUCCCGCAACGAGCGCAACCCUCGUUCUAUGUUGCCAGCACGUUAUGGUGGGGACUCAUAGGAGACUGCCGGGGUCAACUCGGAGGAAGGUGGGGAUGACGUCAAAUCAUCAUGCCCCUUAUGUCUUGGGCUUCACGCAUGCUACAAUGGCCGGUACAGAGGGUUGCGAUACUGUGAGGUGGAGCUAAUCCCUAAAAGCCGGUCUCAGUUCGGAUUGGGGUCUGCAACUCGACCCCAUGAAGUCGGAGUCGCUAGUAAUCGCAGAUCAGCAACGCUGCGGUGAAUACGUUCCCGGGCCU